rnacentral:rRNA from 1 species
CCCUUAGAUGUUCUGGGCCGCACGCGUGCUACACUGAGUGGAUCAGCGGGUCAGGUUGCGCGAAAGCGUUUCCUAAUCUUUAAAUCCGCUCGUGAUGGGGAUUGACGGUUGCAAUUUUCUGUCAUGAACGAGGAAUACCUUGUAAGCGCGGGUCAUCAUCCCGCGCUGAAUACGUCCCUGCCCUUUGUACACACCGCCCGUCGCUCCUACUGAUUGGAUGGUCCGGUGAACUGGUCGGACUGAUAAUUGUCACUGCGGGUGCAGUAGCAUUACGGAAAGUCCGGUGAACCUUAUCAUCUAGAGGAAGGAGAAGUCGUAACA